GCAGCGACUGUUUUCCCUGCCGGUUCGCUCCUUGUUUGUAACAAAACGCCAAGCGCGUGACUGGACGUCGCAACAAAGGACGUUGGCGGAUCUAAACAGCUGUGAGAAGUAGCGGCGGCCCCAAAGAGUAACGGUGCUCCCGGAACAACAAUCCUCCAUCAUGGCCGCCUCAGAUGUGAAAUUCGAAGGGGUACAAUGCGAUGCUUGCUGUCGUAAAGAUAUAACAGGGACCAGCUGGAAGUGCGAAGUAUGUUGCGACUAUGAUCUCUGCGACGACUGCUAUAAAAGCGGCAAGCACUACCGAGAGCACCCCUUCCUGCGGCUCAAGAAGCCCGGUGGU